CAGCCGUUGAUACAUGGGGUUGGGGUGAAGUCUGUCCAGCAGGAGCUCUGAGGGCAGGGUGGUAAGAGUUGGCGUGUCCAGCACCCUACUGAUAAAUGAGCACAAGUAUUUUUAACAGGUCUGAAACAACUUGAGGGAUGAGGAUGGUAAAGAAGGCAACCAAAGCAAAGCCACCAAUGACAAAGAUUAUAACGCUCAUUGAGUAGGCUGUGGACGCAGGAGGGGGCGGAUAGAACUGGAUGGGUUUUGGAAUCGAGGGUGCAGUCUUCACACUGAUUGUAUUUUCCGGACAAAAGGAUAUCAAUGGUACCUUCUCCACAUUUGGGCACCAAGCAGUACUCCCAGCGUACGUUAGGGUUUGCAGUGUAGCACCACGGCCGGUCGCUCUCCGCUCCA